rnacentral:rRNA from 1 species
CCUACGGGAGGCUGCAGUGAGGAAUAUUGGUCAAUGGGCGCGAGCCUGAACCAGCCAAGUAGCGUGAAGGAUGACUGCCCUACGGGUUGUAAACUUCUUUUAUAAAGGAAUAAAGUGAGGCACGUGUGCCUUUUUGUAUGUACUUUAUGAAUAAGGAUCGGCUAACUCCGUGCAGGCAGCCGCGGAAAUACGGAGGAUCGAGCGUUAUCCGGAUUUAUUGGGUUUAAAGGGAGCGUAGAUGGGUUGUUAAGUCAGUUGUGAAAGUUUGCGGCUCAACCGUAAAAUUGCAAUUGAAACUGGCAGCCUUGAGUACAGUUGAGGUAGGCGGAAUUCGUGGUGUAGCGGUGAAAUGCUUAGAUAUCACGAAGAACUCCGAUUGCGAAGGCAGCUUACUAAACUGCAACUGACAUUGAUGCUCGAAAGUGUGGGUAUCAAACAGGAUUAGAUACCCCGGUAGUC